rnacentral:rRNA from 1 species
UUUAUUGGAGAGUUUGAUCCUGGCUCAGGAUGAACGCUGGCGGCGUGCCUAAUACAUGCAAGUCGAGCGAAUGGAUCAAGAGCUUGCUCUUAUGAAGUUAGCGGCGGACGGGUGAGUAACACGUGGGUAACCUGCCCAUAAGACUGGGAUAACUCCGGGAAACCGGGGCUAAUACCGGAUAACAUUUUGAACUGCAUGGUUCGAAAUUGAAAGGC